rnacentral:rRNA from 1 species
UACGUAGGGUGCAAGCGUUAAUCGGAAUUACUGGGCGUAAAGCGUGCGCAGGCGGUUAUGCAAGACAGAUGUGAAAUCCCCGGGCUCAACCUGGGAACUGCAUUUGUGACUGCAUAGCUAGAGUACGGUAGAGGGGAUGGAAUUCCGCGUGUAGCAGUGAAAUGCGUAGAUAUGCGGAGGAACACCGAUGGCGAAGGCAAUCCCCUGGACCUGUACUGACGCUCAUGCACGAAAGCGUGGGGAGCAAACAGG